UACGUAGGGAGCAAGCGUUGUCCGGAAUCAUUGGGCGUAAAGAGCGCGUAGGUGGCUUUAUAAGUCCGUUGUGAAAGUCAAAGGCUCAACCUUUGAAAGCCGAUGGAUACUGUGAAGCUAGAGUACGGAAGAGGCGAGUGGAAUCCUGGUGUAGCGGUGGAAUGCGCAGAUAUCAAGGAGGAACGACCGGUGGCGAAGGCGGGUCUCUGGGCCGAAUACUGACGCUGGAGGAGCGAAAGCGUGGGGAGCGAACAGG
rnacentral:rRNA from 1 species